rnacentral:rRNA from 1 species
CAAGUCGAACGGGAAUCUUCGGAUUCUAGUGGCGGACGGGUGAGUAAUGCGUAAGAAUCUAACUUCAGGACGGGGACAACAGUUGGAAACGACUGCUAAUACCCGAUGUGCCGAAAGGUGAAACCUAAUUGGCCUGAAGAAGAGCUUGCGUCUGAUUAGCUAGUUGGUGGGGUAAGAGCCUACCAAGGCGACGAUCAGUAGCUGGUCUGAGAGGAUGAGCAGCCACACUGGGACUGAGACACGGCCCAGACUCCUACGGGAGGCAGCAGUGGGGAAUUUUCCGCAAUGGGCGAAAGCCUGACGGAGCAACGCCGCGUGAGGGAGGAAGGUCUUUGGAUUGUAAACCUCUUUUCUCAAGGAAGAAGUUCUGACGGUACUUGAGGAAUCAGCCUCGGCUAACUCCGUGCCAGCAGCCGCGGUAAUACGGGGGAGGCAAGCGUUAUCCGAAAUUAUUGGGCGUAAAGCGUCCGCAGGUGGUCAGCCAAGUCUGCCGUCAAAUCAGGUUGCUUAACGACCUAAAGGCGGUGGAAACUGGCAGACUAGAGAGCAGUAGGGGUAGCAGGAAUUCCCAGUGUAGCGGUGAAAUGCGUAGAGAUUGGGAAGAACAUCGGUGGCGAAAGCGUGCUACUGGGCUGUAUCUGACACUCAGGGACGAAAGCUAGGGGAGCGAAAGGGAUUAGAUACCCCUGUAGUCCUAGCCGUAAACGAUGGAUACUAGGCGUGGCUUGUAUCGACCCGAGCCGUGCCGAAGCUAACGCGUUAAGUAUCCCGCCUGGGGAGUACGCACGCAAGUGUGAAACUCAAAAGAAUUGACGG